rnacentral:rRNA from 1 species
UACGGAGGGUGCAAGCGUUAUCCGGAUUCACUGGGUUUAAAGGGUGCGUAGGUGGGCAGGUAAGUCAGUGGUGAAAUCUCCGGGCUUAACCCGGAACUGCCGUUGAUACUAUCUGUCUUGAAUAUCGUGGAGGUGAGCGGAAUAUGUCAUGUAGCGGUGAAAUGCUUAGAUAUGACAUAGAACACCAAUUGCGAAGGCAGCUCGCUACACGGUUAUUGACACUGAGGCACGAAAGCGUGGGGAGCAAACAGG